GCCCUUGCCCAGAGUCUUCCCGGGAUUGGCUGCGGGCCUCGCGACCCUCCUGCUUCCCUCCCCGCCCCGCGCCGCCUCUCUGGUUUGUGCGCCCGUCGCAGGUCGCAGGCCUCUUUGUCAGCUGGAGUUGCGCGGGCUGACGCGCCACUAUGUAGCGGGUUUCGGGCGGGCCACGCGUGCGGGACAGGAACCCAACCCCAGCCGACCUUGAGCUCCAGGAGUUCGUCUCUUACGUCUGCGGAAGUGCAGCUGCCUCAGUUCUUAGCGCAGACUCCUGAAGACUCUCGCUUUUAGCCAUAUGGGUGAAGGGUGAUCUGCACAUCCAUUCAUGCUCUUAAUCAGACAACAGAUCCAAGGCCCGACACUGCUGUAACCAUCAGCACAUGCUUGAAGAUGAUGCUGACACAGAGGACAGCAAAGCCAGUCAAGUCACAAGCACAUGGAGUCAUAGGCACUGGAUUUAAUACUUUUGAAGCAGGUUCUACUUCAGGACUUUCAGUGAGGUAAAUCGAUCAAUUUCCAGACUGAGUCUCACUCUGCCGCCAGGCUGGAGUGCAGUGGCACAAUCUUGGCUCACUGCAACUUCCACCUCCAGGGUUCAAGCCAUUGUCCUGCCUCAGCCUCCCAAAUAGCUGGGACUACAGGUUUCAGAGAGUGAUUCAUCCUAAAUCCUGCUUCUCCCUAUAUGGCAUGUAAACCCUUCCAGAUUCCUGGAAACUACAUCCUGGUUGUUUAUCUCAGCAAGGUGAGCCGUCGACCGAAGGCUCGUGACCACUAUCUCGAAAAGCAGGCUUUAAGCAGUCUUGAAUUUGAAUCUGAGCUCCUCACUUCUUGGCUUAAGCAUGUCUAUGAAUCUUCUGAGACCAUCUCCUCAUCUGCAAAAUACCAUAGAGAGUGGAGCCAAGAUGGCCGAAUAGGAACAGCUCCGGUCUACAGCUCCCAGCGUGAGCGACGCAGAAGACGGGUGAUUUCUGCAUUUCCAUCUGAGCACUGGUGGUCCGGUUCCUCACCAAACGAUUCAUCGGUGACUAUGAAAGAAAUGCAGGUAAUCUCUAUACUAGACAAGUUCAGAUAGAAGGUGAAACCCUGGCUCUUCAGGUUCAAGACACUCCAGGUAUUCAGGUCCAUGAGAACAGCCUGAGCUGCAGUGAACAGCUGAAUAGGUGCAUUCGCUGGGCAGAUGCUGUGGUGAUCGUUUUCUCCAUCACUGACUACAAGAGCUAUGAACUCAUCAGCCAGCUCCACCAGCACGUGCAGCAGCUACACCUGGGCACCCGGCUGCCUGUGGUGGUCGUGGCCAACAAAGCUGACCUGUUGCACAUCAAACAGGUUGACCCUCAGCUUGGACUGCAGCUAGCCAGCAUGCUAGGCUGCUCAUUCUAUGAAGUGUCUGUCAGUGAAAAUUAUAAUGAUGUCUACAGCGCCUUCCACGUCCUCUGUAAAGAGGUCAGUCACAAACAGCAGCCUAGCAGUACACCCGAGAAGCGAAGAACCUCCCUCAUUCCCAGGCCCAAGUCACCCAACAUGCAGGACCUGAAGAGGAGGUUUAAGCAAGCCCUCUCUGCCAAAGUGAGGACUGUCACCUCCGUCUGAAGCAGGAGGAGCACUCAAGGGGGUUUGGUCUUCCCAGGAAGAGGGCCUGAGGUUCUCCUAGUGCAGGAACGUUGAAUAUUGGCAAUGAUUCCUGGUUCCAGAAAGGGCUGGAGCAGAAGGGCCAAGAGGGCCUGUGGAACUGCUACAGAAAAGGAAGUGUUGUUCUGAGCAGGGGGACAGGAUUGAUGAGGCUUGAAAGAGCCCACUGAGCCACUCUCUGAAUAUGUGAAAUGUACUCUGUGUCUUUUCCUUUAGAGUGGGGAGGGGGCAUAAUCGUUUCGGUUUCUGCAUUCAACUACCUUGUAAAUGGUGGUCCGUUGCAGUUUCACCAAAUGUAUUGAUGUGAUUUACAGUGGGAAUGAAAGAACAGAUUAAGCAUUGAUAGGCUUUCUUUUUUCCCCCUUUUUUCUUUUUUCUCUUUUCUUCUUUCUUUUCCUCUUUUUCCCCAAGAGGAAGAAUUGCUUUUCUCUUACCAGUAUGAUUUGUAACUCUGGAACACUAUUCUUACAGAAUGCCUUUCUAACCUGAAGGAUACCCAGAUUUCUUUCUUUAUGUACAAGAUGGAAAAUCCCCUACCCCUCAAAAACAGGUUGAGUUUAUGGGCCAGAAUAUUUUGUAUACCAGACAUUGGUAAGCUCUCAUGGUUUACAGGAAGGCUCUGGUUCCCCCUCACAGGAUGAGCAUGCUCAGUUGGGCGUGUGUGGAGGAGCUGUGAACUUCACGCUCUUCAACCCCAGACUUUGACUGUAUAGUUUUUUGUUUUUUUAACUGUUCCAUCAGGAAAAAAAUGUGUCAGUUGAUUUUGGUGUGACUUGUGUAAAUGGUUCAUGGCAAUGACGUUGGGUUGCUUCCUAGGCCUGGCUGAGUUGUGCCUAAGGGUGGCUGAAAUACUAAAACACUUAUCUUACAGCAAGUGAACAGGGGCUACCUGCCACAUCCCCUCCACAGAUGCACUUUAAAAAGCCACUCAUGCUUUGGCUUAAACUGUAAUUAAUUUAUUUUAUGUACAAUAAAUC
ensembl:lncRNA LINC01618 long intergenic non-protein coding RNA 1618